GUUUCAUCAUCUGAAAAUGAGAAGGUAUGAGGACCUACCUUGUAGAUUUGUUUUGAAGAGUAACUGACAAAAACCACGUGAAGUUGUGCAUUGGACUUCAUAUCAGCAUUAUUUGUAACAGCCAAAAGGUGGAAACAGCCCUAAUGUCCAUGAAAUGAACAAAAUGUGGAACAUACAUGCAACAGAAUAUUCUUCAGUAUUCAAAAAGAUGGAAAUUCUGACGCAUGUUAUAACACAGAUAAAUUUUGAAGACAUUACGCUAAAUUAAAUACACCAGUUACAAAAGGACAGGCACAGCCCAGGCCCAGGAGGCAGGAUACCUGGGUCCUGCCCUGCCACCUGCCAUCACCAUCUCAGGAAACUUGCAGAGACGCAUCUAACUGCCCUGCCCCUCAAUCUCUGGUACUGCAAAACUGGGACUCAUUGUUCAGAGGCGAGGAGUUCUGUCAGAGAUUGUGCGGUUCCCUGUGUGAAUAAUUCAGGCCACGACGAUGGGAGAAUGGAAUGGAUUAAACUGGAUGGAGUUCUCUUUGGCUGAUUCGAAGAUCUAGAUGCUGAAGGAAGAAGAGGAAGCUAGAAGAGGCCAGGGUAAGGAGGUCAGCCUGAACGGGAGUGGUGGCAGGAAGUUUGGACUCCCUGCUCAAGGAGUGUUUUCAGUGUUUGGUAUUUGCACUGGGGGUCUUUCUAUUGUGAACACAAAGCCCAACUUAGAGGGAGGUAACUGAGGAAGGGAAACCGAGGAGUAGUUCUGGUUUCAAGUAGAGCUGAAUUUAAAGUCAAAACAACAUCCUUGACAAUCCAGUUUCUAUCGCUUCCGUGUGCUUCCUGCUGUGUUAGAUUGAUUCUUGGGCUCACUGUAGUGGCCCCUAAAACUUCUGGGUGAUAAAGUGGCUACAACAGCUCCAGCCUCACCCCUCCUCCUCCCAUCAGCUCAAUUCCAACAGCAUAGAGCUUGGAUCUUUCCCUUGGUUUCCACUAAACAUUUUUUUAAAUUAAUAAGAGCUUUAUUGAGAUGUAAUUUACAUACCAUACAGUUCACUCACUUAAAGUAAAAUUCAGUGAUUUUAGUAUAUUCAUGGAAUUAUACAACCAUCAGCACAAUCAAUUUAAAAAAAAAUUCAUCACCUCAAAAAGAAACCCCAUUCCCAUGAGCAGUCACUCCCCAUCCUCCUUUCUCCCAGCCCUAGGUAACCAUGAAUCCACUCUCUGUCUCUAUGGAUUUGCCUGUUCCGGACAUUUCAUACAAUACGUGGUCUUUUGCACUAGGCUUUUUUUACUUUGCAUGAUGAUUGAGAGGCUCACCUAUGUUGCAGCGUGUGCCUGAAUCUUAUUUCUUUUCAUGGCUGAAUAAUACUCCAUUGUAUGGAUUCAUCACAUUUUGUUUAUACAUUCACUGGUUGAAAGAUACUUGGUUUGUUUCCACCUUUUGUUUAUUACAGUGCUGCUGGGAUCAUUUGUGUGCAUUAUGUGAACAUUUGGUUUCAUUUCUCUAGGGUAGGUAUUGAAGAGUGGAAUUGCUGGGUGACACAGUUCACCUUUUGAGAAACUGGCUGUUUUCCAAAGCAGCUAUACUAUUUUACACUCACAUCAGCAGUGUCUAAGGGUUCAGUUUCUCCACUUCCUUGCCAGUCUUGUUGAGAUCUCUCUAUUUGGCUGUAGCCAUGCUUGUGUUGUGCAGUCAUAUCUUAUUGUGGACUCCCACUAAACUUUUGAGAGCCUUUCUGAUUGGACCACCCUGGGUGGUGAGACCAUUCCUGAAUCAAUCACUGUGUCAAGGUCCAUUUAGUGCUGGAUUGACCAGACCUGAGUCAAGAACCUCAUCCUGGAGAUCCUUCCAGACCAUGUGGACUCAGAAUGAAGAGAAGGGUUGACUCCAAGUUCAAAAUCAGAGUCAUUACUAGGGUAAGAGGAUCUGGGAUGCUGGGAAAAUGAGAAUUCAUGUCUACUAAAGCUCAGCCACCAGCAGUCUGCUGGGGCUGUGCCCUGACCCAGGCCUGGUGGAAGUUGGCUUCAGAGUUUAGUCCCAAGGAAUUGCUGGUCUGGUCUGGGGGUCCCCUUCACUGUGCCCCUGGCACCAUGGCCACUUAUCCAUGGCACUGACCAGUUUUAGAGGCUUUAGCCCACUCUCACCUCCAGUUUUCACUGCAGCAGGGCUGUUGGUGAGGAUCUGCAAAGACAGUUUUGAAAUUUCUAUCAAACAGACCACUCCUUCCCAUUGUGGAAAUAAUGAAUUCUUCAAUCUGGCCCAUCUGCCGUGUAUCUAACAGAUGUUCCUCAGACCUCCUGGCCUAUAAAUACCACCCUUUGCUAAUAUCCAGUAUGGAUAAGUUUUUUCUUAUUUUUAUAUACAGUUGGUCAUUUUCUGGGGAAUCUGGGAGAUAGAUAGGUAUGUGCUUAUGUUGUUGUCUUCCCGCACUAGAGAAGUAACUCCAGCGUGCUUCCUGGAAACAGCUUAUGACUCAAGCUAUCUAUUUCAAGACUGGGUUAAAAAUGAUGCUACUUCUACUAAAAAUACAAAAAUUAGCCAGGCAUGGUGGUGUGAUCUUGUAGACCCAGCUACUCAGGAGGCUGAGGCAGAAGAAUCACUUGAACCAAGGGGGCAGAGGUUACAGUGAGCCAAGAUCAUGCUACUACACUCCAGCCUGGGUGACAGAGGGAGUCUCUGUCAAAAAAAAAAAAAAAGGUGAUGCUACUUCAAAACACAUCAUGUCUCAUUGGACACUCUCCACAUGGUCAAUAAUAUAAUAGAAGUCAGGUGUCACCUUCUAAACAAUGAAGGUUUACUACAUGGUGGGCACUAUGGAAAACAUUUUCAUGUAUUACCUCAUUUAAUCAUGAAAUCCCCAUGUUAUUCUCACAUUAUAGGUAAGGAAACUGAAGCUCAGAGAAGUUAAGUGACUUGUCAAAAGUCACACAGUAAACCACAACGAUUCACAUGUAGUGCUAAAAUUUUUAAGUGACCCUGCCUGCCACUGUGAUUUUUCCCAUCACUUUAUCUGUCCAGACCCUCCUCCAAUCCUGCAGAGCCUCCCUGUGAAUAUGAGAAACCCAUCCCCCGACCUGCUCCUUUCUGGUUUGGCCAUCAUCAGGGUCUGCCUGGCCUCUGGAGUAAUCUGCUGUCUGGCUCCCUGACCCCAGUCUUGCUUCCUGCAAUCCAUCCUUUGCCCUCCAGCCAACAUGAACUUUCUCCAGUGCAACACUGAUUGUAUCACUGCCUGAUUCAAAAGGCUUCAAAGCCAAGAGUUGAAAACUCCUCAGUGCAGGGCACGGCCAGGCUCCUGUGAUGCUGUCUCUCUUGCUGCCUCCACACCCUCUGCUCUGCUGCUCGUGUGAACCAUUUGCAAGUCCAUCAAUGCACCAUGCUGCUUCUCACUUCUGUCUUUGCACCACUUGUCAUUUUGUCUUCUUACCUCUGUCCCCACCCCUUACCCCUCACCAGUUUUACUUCUCUGUGCUCUUCAUCCUUCAAGGCCAAGUCUAUGUAGCAGCCCGUAGAAGAAUACACUUCUUCAAAACCACCACCACAGACAUAGCCACCAGGCCUUUAGUCAGGGAUGCAAUGGCCUUGUAGCUUUGAAUCACACCAGCCUACCUGGUUGACCUGCUUACUAGGUUGUCCUCAGAGUCAGAAUAGAAAGACUGCUAUGGUCAUCUGGUCGACCCGAAACCCUUUUCUUAAUAGAGAUCAAAGCUUAACCCAUAUUCCAUAUGGCCCAGCUCAUGUUCCCUGGACCAUUUCAACAACCCAGGCAUAAGGAGCCUUGGCCAGUUUUUCCAUCUGCAAAUUGAAAGGGAAUGUUUCUCCCAGAUAAUCUCCCAGGCCCUUUUCUACUCUAAAUUUCAAGAUUGCACGUACUGUCUUAUCUUAGGGUCUACAAUGAGUUAAACAUGAUCUCACAUUUCCCCAUCUCUCUCUGUCUCCUUGCCCCUUGUUCCUUGUUUACUUUCGGGGUACAGCCUGCUCCUGGAAAGUCGUCUGGGCUGUAAGGAGUGGUUACUGCACUUCCAUUAUUCAUGAGUCCCAGGGCCGGCAGUCCUGCAGUUGGAGGAUUUGAGCCACGGGUCCCCAGCAGGCUGCAUGUCCUACUUGAGCAGGAAUAAAAGGCCAGGUUGGAUGCCUGCAGGAAGGGUAAACAAACCCAUACGCUUUCUACAACAAAAAAAGAAAGAACGAAUGAAAAGAAAUAUUGAUUAUGUGGCAUUGAAGUGCCUGGGGCUUUAACAGACAUUCAAAAUUGGAUGCAUUGCUCAAGAUCAAUAGUAGGUUUUAUGCUUCUGACCUAAAAAGUACCAGCUCUAUGUAAUUUAAACACUGACAGCCACAAGGAUAUCUCCUAGCAUCUGGCCUGCUUUCCUCAGGUACCCCGGACACAUCGGCUGGCUUCUCUGCAACCAUUUUCCUUUUCUUUGUUUUUUGCGCCGGAAGAUGACAGUGGAUAAAUAAAAGGAUUAUUUUCGGAAA